rnacentral:rRNA from 1 species
CAGCAGCCGCGGUAAUACGAAGGGUGCAAGCGUUACUCGGAAUUACUGGGCGUAAAGCGUGCGUAGGUGGUGGUUUAAGUCCGUUGUGAAAUCCCCGGGCUCAACCUGGGAAUGGCAGUUGAUACUGGCUCGCUAGAGUGUGUCAGAGGAUGGUGGAAUUCCCGGUGUAGCGGUGAAAUGCGUAGAGAUCGGGAGGAACAUCAGUGGCGAAGGCGGCCAUCUGGGACAACACUGACGCUGAGGCACGAAAGCGUGGGGAGCAAACAGGAUUAGAUACCCGUGUAGUCCCUGUCUCUUAUCC